AUUGAACGCUGGCGGAAUGCUUUACACAUGCAAGUCGAACGGUAGAGGGGGCAACCCCUCGAGAGUGGCGAACGGGUGAGUAAUAUAUCGGAACGUGCCCAGUCGUGGGGGAUAACGUAGCGAAAGUUACGCUAAUACCGCAUACGAUCUAGGGAUGAAGGCGGGGGAUCGCAAGACCUCGCGCGAUUGGAGCGGCCGAUACCAGAUUAGGUAGUUGGUGGGGUAAAGGCUCACCAAGCCAACGAUCUGUAGCUGGUCUGAGAGGACGACCAGCCACACUGGAACUGAGACACGGUCCAGACUCCUACGGGAGGCAGCAGUGGGGAAUUUUGGACAAUGGACGCAAGUCUGAUCCAGCCAUUCCGCGUGCAGGAUGAAGGCCCUCGGGUUGUAAACUGCUUUUGUACGGAACGAAAAGGUCUCUCUUAAUACGGGGGACUCAUGACGGUACCGUAAGAAUAAGCACCGGCUAACUACGUGCCAGCCGCCGCAGUAA
rnacentral:rRNA from 1 species